rnacentral:rRNA from 1 species
AGUGAACGCUGGCGGCGUGCUUAACACAUGCAAGUCGAACGAGAACGGGUUAUAGCUUGCUAUAAUUGUCAGCUAAGUGGCGCACGGGUGAGUAAUGUAUAGGUAAUAUGCCUCUUACUAAGGGAUAACAGAUGGAAACGUUUGCUAAUACCUUAUACUCCUUAUUAACAGAAGUUAAUAAGGGAAAGAUUUAUUGGUAAGAAUUUAGCAUGUAUUGUAUCAGUUAGUUGGUGGGGUAAUGGCUUACCAAGACUAUGACACAUAACUGGUUUGAGAGGAUGAUCAGUCACACUGGGACUGAGACACGGUCCAGACUCCUACGUGAUGCAGCAGUGGGGAAUAUUGCACACUCGACGAAGUCUGAUGCAGCAGCACCGCGUGGAGGAUGACACAUUUCGGUGCGUAAACUCCUUUUAUAUGAGAAGAUAAUGACGGUAUUAUAUGAAUAAGCACCGCCUAACUCCGUGCCAGCAGCAGCCGCGG